CCAAUCCACAAAAGACACUCCUCUCCAGGAAGUAAGCCAACAGCGCAGCCUCUCCUGGUGGUAUUUCAAGCUUUAAGAGCUCUCUCUCUCUCUCUUGCUCUCAUUCUUGCUCUUUGUCUCUCUCUCUCUCUCUAUCUCUCUCUCCCUCCCUAAUCCUGUUGCAGGGGGUCUCCUUAUGUAACUGGCCUAGAACUCACAGGGAUCCUCAUGCCUCCGCCUCCCAAGUGCUGGAGUUACAGGAGUGCUUCACCACACUCAGAUCGUCUUGUUCUUCAGUUGUUCUUCUCAUCAAUAUCAGGAAAGAAGGAUGCUGGGCAUGAGCCUGUCCCAAACCAUGGCCACCACCAAGACUUUGUCUCCUCUGCAACCAGGAGGGUCACUGGAACUACAACUACCCUGUCUGUAAGAGAGCAGGAGCAUGGAGACUGUCCCAGGGACCAUGUCAUCCUGCCAUACCUGUACCAGCCAGCACCAUGACCUGGAAUCAGAAGAAAGAAGCCUGGAAACAAGGCCAGGAGAAGACACUGCAGACACUCAGGAGGCUGAGCCGUGGGAAGUGCGGAUAGGAGGGCGCGUUCUUUCAUAAUUCACACUCUACUCAGUUUCAGAGUGCAUCCCAUGAAAGUAUAGUCCUCUUAUGAUGGAAACAAUAACUUCCUUCUGUGCUCUCUAGAGGCACUAACCUCUGUUUGUUCAGCACUUGCAGUGGAUGUGGGAGAUGGCAGGGGCCUGGCACACCACAGUGGAGCAGGAGUUUUCUGCCUGUUUUCUGCAGAGACUAAGGGAGCAGAGCCCCUGGCAGCCUCCGAGGCCAGGCAUCCCAGACCCUGCUCCCCCGAAGCCAGCCCCUCCCCAUCUGAAUCCAUGUGCUUACCUGUGUCCACAUCUGCUAUGCUCUGCCACAUGGAUGGUGGGUCCAGGGCUUUGCCUGGGGAUGUGACCUGAGAGAGAGCGCCUGACUGUUGCAGUCCCCUCCCUGCCACCCCAGCCGACCACAGGCCUGGGUCGGGUGGGCUCAGCUCUGUCACCACAGUGUUUUUCUUUUGGUCUAACCUGUUCCAGCCUCAGAGGUUUGAGAUCACUGAGAACUGCAGCUCUGACCAAGAGGAGAUCUCCUAUGGCCUGUGUGGCCAUCGGAUGCUGAUGCACAUGAAUGAUUUCCUUUGUGGGCAUGGGGGUUACUGUCACUGGCAUCAGGCAUGGGAGAAUCAUGUCGGGUAGUGUGGGGCGUGUGUGUGUCACGGUACCUCCACAUAGUCUGGAGAAAAUCUUGCGUAGGUUUCCCAAAACCAUCAGAAUGAGCUUGUUAGGGACAUCCUUCAGGCUGCACGUGGACAAUGAGCUUCUGGCGGGUCAGAGCAUCUCCUCCCCCAGUCAUCUUUUCUGGUCCUUCUUCCUAGAAUUUGGUCUCUGCCACCUCUGAUUCGACCCUGUCGUGCCCAGAAUCUGCCCUGUCCUAGGCACAGUUUAGGUCCUUGCUCCUGAUGUCCCUGAGCUCCAGACCACAUCCCUGUUGGGGCUAUGCCUCUCAAACCAGGGGCAGGCAGGUCCAGCUCCUUUUGGUUAGUAAACAAUUUCUCAUGACCUAUCCUUCGUAACAAAGGCAAGGCAGAAGGGGUCAUAGUCCCUGACUUGAAGUUACAUUACAAAGCUGCUAUCAUAAAGUCAGCAUGGUACUUCAAUAAAAAUAGACCUGAAGAUCAACGGAAUAGAUUAGAAGAGACAUCUACAACUACAAACACACUCAGACACACCUUACCUUUGACAAGGGGACCAAACACGUUCACUGGAACAAAGACAUCCUUGUUAAUAACUGAUGCUAGAAAAACUGGCUCUCCGUAUGCUUUAAAGUAAAACUAGACCCUUGCCUAUCACCAUGUACUAAACUACAGUCAAAAUGGAUCAAAGAUCUAAAUAUUAAAAGAGAAACACUAAAUCUGCUAGAAGACAGAUGAGGUAUAAAUCUUGAAGGUAGUGAAGAGAAUUCAUGAACAAAAAUCAAACAGCAUGGGAAGUACUUCCAGAAUCCAUAACUGAGAUCUCAUCUUAUUAAAAGGUUUUUGCAUGUCAAAAGAAAUCUCAAAGUAAAAAAGAACUCAUGAAUGUUUAAAAAAAUCUUAGUCAACUGUCCCUCAGACAAAGGACUUCUGUCUAUAGCAUAAGGAAUUUAAAAAUCAGACCCCCAAAAUACAAAGGCCCAAUCCAAAAAUGGGCAUCUGAGAUGAAUACACACUUCUCAGAUGAAGAAAUACACAUGGCAAAUAGACAUGAAGAAAUGUUCAGCAUCAUUGGUCAUUAGAGAAAUGCAAAUUAAAACCACACUGAGAGCCCAUCUCACUCAGAAAGAAUGGCAAGGAUCAAGAAAAUUACCAGCAACAAAUCCUGGAGAGGCUGUGAGGAAAAGGAACUCUCCUACACUGUUGGUGGGAGUGUAGACUGGUGCACCUCUCUGGAGGCCAGAUUGGAAGUUUCUCCAAAAGCUGGGAUUGGAAGUCCCAUUUGAACCAGCUAUUCCACUUCUGGGCAUAUUGAAGAAGAACUGAAAACAUGAUAUCACAGUGAUAUAUUUGCACCCAUGUUCAUAGCAGCACAAUUUGUAAUAGCCAGAUCUUGGAAACAACCAAAAUGCCCAUCAACUGAGCAAUAGAUAAAAAGAUGAGAUACCUUUUUACAGUAGAAUCCUACGCAGCUGUAAAGAAUGAUCACGUUCAGAUUUGUAUCGGUAAAUGGAUGCAACUGGAGACCAUACUCAUAAGUGAAAUAAAUCAAAAUCACAUAUAUAAAUACUAUAUUGUCUCCCUAGUGUGAGAAACAGUAAGGCACAAAAUCCUCAACAAAUCCUGUGAAAGGUUAAGAACCGGCUCAAAAAGGAAAACUGUAUCAUCUCAGGGAAAACGAGAAAAAAAAGGAAAGAAAAACACAAUAUACAUAAAUUUGUAUACACCCACUUAAGAUAACUAAGAUGAUUGUGCUGCAAGUUCUAUUAGUUCUUGGGACAAAACAGUUAACAUUCAUAGGACUGGAUCAAUUUUGGUUGUUUAUGUCUGGUGAUCUGAGGAACUCUGUUGAAGAUCACUAUGUAAGAUAGUUCUGUUCCUACCACCUUGUUUUGAAGGACUAUAUCGUCAUUGUUUUAGGUAUUUUGCUAUUGUUUAGUUGUCUUUUUUGUUUCUUGUUUUCUAGUAUUUUGUUGUUUUGCUUUUCCCUUUCAUGUAGAGAGAUAGGUGUAUAUGUAAAGGCUUAUACAUGCCCAGAACUUCUCCAUAACAGUUCAUGAGCAUCGAUUGUAUUACGUGUGAUGAAAUAAACAGCUACGUUGAAGAAAAAGAGA